UCCCUCUUAGCUCAGUUGGUAGAGCGCGUCACUAGUACGAUUACAUCGUGUAAUGACGAGGUCAGUCGUUCAAAUCGGCUAGCGGGAA
rnacentral:tRNA from 1 species